rnacentral:rRNA from 1 species
GACGAACGCUGGCGGCGUGCUUAACACAUGCAAGUCGAACGGGCUUCUGGGGUUCUGGCUUUUUUGGUUGGGGUUCUGGGGGUUAGUGGCGAACGGGUGAGUAACACGUGAGUAACCUGCCCUUCACUUCUGGAUAACCGCUUGAAAGGGCGGCUAAUACGGGAUGUUUCUGGGUCUGUCGCAUGGCGGGUUCGGGAAAGAUGGCACUGUUUGGUGUUUUUGGUGGGGGAUGGGCUCGCGGCCUAUCAGCUUGUUGGUGGGAUGAUGGCCUGCCAAGGCUUUGGGGGGUAGCCGGCAUGAGAGGGUGGGCGGUCACGAUGGGACUGAGAGACGGCCAAGACUCCUACGGGAGGCAGCAGGGGGGAAUAUUGCACAGUGGGCGGAAGCCUGAUGCAGCGCCGUCGCGUGAGGGAUGGAGGCCUUCGGGUUGUGAACCUCUUUCGCCAGUGAGGAAGGCCUGGCCCGUGUGGUGGGGUUGACGGGAGCUGGGUUAAUUGAGGCGCCGGCAAACUACGU